ACAUGCAAGUCGAACGGUGAAGCUCAAGCUUGCUUGGGUGGAUCAGUGGCGAACGGGUGAGUAACACGUGAGCAACCUGCCCCGGACUCUGGAAUAAGCGCUGGAAACGGCGUCUAAUACUGGAUAUGACACCAAUCCGCAUGGGUAUGGUGUGGAAAGUUUUUCGGUCUGGGAUGGGCUCGCGGCCUAUCAGCUUGUUGGUGAGGUAAUGGCUCACCAAGGCGACGACGGGUAGCCGGCCUGAGAGGGCGACCGGCCACACUGGGACUGAGACACGGCCCAGACUCCUACGGGAGGCAGCAGUGGGGAAUAUUGCACAAUGGGCGAAAGCCUGAUGCAGCGACGCCGCGUGAGGGAUGACGGCCUUCGGGUUGUAAACCUCUUUCAGCAGGGAAGAAGCGAAAGUGACGGUACCUGCAGAAGAAGCACCGGCUAACUACGUGCCAGCAGCCGCGGUAAUACGUAGGGUGCGAGCGUUGUCCGGAAUUAUUGGGCGUAAAGAGCUUGUAGGCGGUUUGUCGCGUCUGCUGUGAAAAUCCGGGGCUCAACCCCGGACUUGCAGUGGGUACGGGCAGACUAGAGUGUGGUAGGGGAGACUGGAAUUCCUGGUGUAGCGGUGAAAUGCGCAGAUAUCAGGAGGAACACCGAUGGCGAAGGCAGGUCUCUGGGCCACUACUGACGCUGAGAAGCGAAAGCAUGGGGAGCGAACAGGAUUAGAUACCCUGGUAGUCCAUGCCGUAAACGUUGGGCGCUAGGUGUGGGACUC
rnacentral:rRNA from 1 species